GGCGGGCGUGCUAUACAUGCAGUCGAACGCUUCUUUCCUCCCGAGUGCUUGCACUCAAUUGGAAAGAGGAGUGGCGGACGGGUGAGUAACACGUGGGUAACCUACCCAUCAGAGGGGGAUAACACUUGGAAACAGGUGCUAAUACCGCAUAACAGUUUAUGCCGCAUGGCAUAAGAGUGAAAGGCGCUUUCGGGUGUCGCUGAUGGAUGGACCCGCGGUGCAUUAGCUAGUUGGUGAGGUAACGGCUCACCAAGGCCACGAUGCAUAGCCAACCUGAGAGGGUGAUCGGCCACACUGGGACUGAGACACGGCCCAGACUCCUACGGGAGGCAGCAGUAGGGAAUCUUCGGCAAUGGACGAAAGUCUGACCGAGCAACGCCGCGUGAGUGAAGAAGGUUUUCGGAUCGUAAAACUCUGUUGUUAGAGAAGAACAAGGACGUUAGUAACUGAACGUCCCCUGACGGUAUCUAACCAGAAAGCCACGGCUAACUACGUGCCAGCAGCCGCGGUAAUACGUAGGUGGCAAGCGUUGUCCGGAUUUAUUGGGCGUAAAGCGAGCGCAGGCGGUUUCUUAAGUCUGAUGUGAAAGCCCCCGGCUCAACCGGGGAGGGUCAUUGGAAACUGGGAGACUUGAGUGCAGAAGAGGAGAGUGGAAUUCCAUGUGUAGCGGUGAAAUGCGUAGAUAUAUGGAGGAACACCAGUGGCGAAGGCGGCUCUCUGGUCUGUAACUGACGCUGAGGCUCGAAAGCGUGGGGAGCAAACAGGAUUAGAUACCCUGGUAGUCCACGCCGUAAACGAUGAGUGCUAAGUGUUGGAGGGUUUCCGCCCUUCAGUGCUGCAGCAAACGCAUUAAGCACUCCGCCUGGGGAGUACGACCGCAAGGUUGAAACUCAAAGGAAUUGACGGGGGCCCGCACAAGCGGUGGAGCAUGUGGUUUAAUUCGAAGCAACGCGAAGAACCUUACCAGGUCUUGACAUCCUUUGACCACUCUAGAGAUAGAGCUUUCCCUUCGGGGACAAAGUGACAGGUGGUGCAUGGUUGUCGUCAGCUCGUGUCGUGAGAUGUUGGGUUAAGUCCCGCAACGAGCGCAACCCUUAUUGUUAGUUGCCAUCAUUUAGUUGGGCACUCUUGCGAGACUGCCCGUGACAAACCGGAAGAAAAGUGGGGGAUAAAAUCCAAUCAUCAAUGCCCCUAUAGAACUGGGGUACACACCUGGUUCAAUUGGGGAAUUCAACAAGUCCCUUUAACCCCGAGGUGUUUGGAAAUUUCUUAAAACUCUUUCUAUUUUCGAAUGGAGGGUGCAACUCCCCUGCGGGAGACCCGGAUUCGUUUGUAUUCCGGAUGAACACGCGCCGCUAAAAAUUUCCCUGGCCUUGUAACAACCG
rnacentral:rRNA from 1 species